rnacentral:rRNA from 1 species
CCUACGGGAGGCAGCAGUGGGGAAUAUUGCACAAUGGGGGAAACCCUGAUGCAGCGACGCCGCGUGAAGGAAGAAGGAUUUCGGUGUGUAAACUUCUAUCAGCAGGGAAGAAAAUGACGGUACCUGACUAAGAAGCCCCGUCUAACUACGUGCCAGCAGCCGCGGUAAUACGUAGGGAGCACGCGUUAUCCGGAUUGACUGGGUGUAAAGGGGGCGUAGGCGGUGAUGCAAGUCAGAAGUGAAAGCCCGCGGCUCAACUGAGGGACUGCUUUUGAAACUGUAUGACUAGAUUGCAGGAGAGGUAAGUGGAAUUCCUAGUGUAGCGGUGAAAUGCGUAGAUAUUAGGAGGAACACCAGUGGCGAAGGCGGCUUACUGGAGUGUAAAUGACGCUGAGGCUCGAAGGCGUGGGGAGCAAACAGGAUUAGAUACCCCUGUAGUC